UGGGGCCUGGUUUUCGAAAGUAUCUUAUGACUAUGACAUGUCUUAUGAUGGUCUUAGGACAUGUCAUAGUCGUAAGAUAUGUUUUCGAAAGUGUCACAAGUUACGAUUUGUCAUAACUUUUGUCGUAAACUUAAGACCAUUCGCGACAUGACUUAUGAUGGUCUUAUGAUUGUCAACUAAAAUUUUAAUUACUUUUCAUGUAUAAUUUCAUGU
rnacentral:lncRNA from 1 species